rnacentral:tRNA from 1 species
UAAAAAUUAGUUAAUUUAUAACGUAAGCUUGUCAAGCUUAAAUAAUUGUCUAAAUCAAUAUUUUUAU